AUGUGUGUAGGAGGAACUGAUUAAUUUCAGUGGAAACAAGGAAACACUUGAUUCUAAUCAGUUUUAAA
rfam:Marine metagenome 1096626093714, whole genome shotgun sequence.